rnacentral:rRNA from 1 species
AUAACAAUACAGGAUUCUUUAGAGGCCCUGUAAUUGUAAUAAGUCCACUUGAAAUCCUUUAACUAGGAUCAAUUGGAGGGCAAGUCUGGUGCAGAGCGUCUGACCCAUGGGUGCUGCUGCUUGCACAGUCUCUCCAG